AUUGAACGCUGGCGGCAUGCUUUACACAUGCAAGUCGAACGGUAACAGGCCUUCGGGUGCUGACGAGUGGCGAACGGGUGCGUAAUGCAUCGGAACGUGCCCAGAGGUGGGGGAUAACGCAGCGAAAGCUGUGCUAAUACCGCAUGUGAUCUGAGGAUGAAAGCGGGGGACCAGGCAGCAAUGUUUGGCCUCGCGCCUUUGGAGCGGCCGAUGUCAGAUUAGGUAGUUGGUGGGGUAAAGGCCUACCAAGCCGACGAUCUGUAGCUGGUCUGAGAGGACGACCAGCCACACUGGAACUGAGACACGGCCCAGACUCCUACGGGAGGCAGCAGUGGGGAAUGGUGGACAAUGGGCGCAAGCCUGAUCCAGCAAUGCCGCGUGCGGGAAGAAGGCCUUCGGGUUGUAAACCGCUUUUGUACGGAACGAAAAGGCUCUGGCUAAUACCUGGGGCUGAUGACGGUACCGUAAGAAUAAGCACCGGCUAACUACGUG
rnacentral:rRNA from 1 species